GACGAACGCUGGCGGCGUGCUUAACACAUGCAAGUCGAACGGAAAGGCCCUGCUUUUGUGGGGUGCUCGAGUGGCGAACGGGUGAGUAACACGUGAGUAACCUGCCCUUGACUUUGGGAUAACUUCAGGAAACUGGGGCUAAUACCGGAUAGGAGCUCCUGCUGCAUGGUGGGGGUUGGAAAGUUUCGGCGGUUGGGGAUGGACGCGCGGCUUAUCAGCUUGUUGGUGGGGUAGUGGCUUACCAAGGCUUUGACGGGUAGCCGGCCUGAGAGGGUGACCGGCCACAUUGGGACUGAGAGACGGCCCAGACUCCUACGGGAGGCAGCAGUGGGGAGUAUUGCACAAUGGGCGGAAGCCUGAUGCAGCAACGCCGCGUGCGGGAUGACGGCCUUCGGGUUGUAAACCGCUUUCGCCUGUGACGAAGCGUGAGUGACGGUAAUGGGUAAAGAAGCACCGGCUAACUACGUG
rnacentral:rRNA from 1 species